AUAUGAAAAAGGAAUGCCUUUAUAUAUGUUGUAUGCCCUUAUAUUGAUCUACAGCUUAGAGAUUUCACAAACGCCUCCGCACAUUCGCCCCCUGAAGUUUCGAUUUAUGAUUUUAAUAAUCCAGUAUAAUGUAUCAAAACAUUGUACAGGUUACAAGCAAUAUUUCACAUUUCGUUACGUUUCAUCGUUCUAAAAACACAUAAAAUAUUCCCUUUUCUAUUUGCGAUCAAGUAUGUUGCAAAUUUGUCAGCUGCAUUCAUUUAGCAACAUUUACGAGCA